rnacentral:rRNA from 1 species
GAUGAACGCUGGCGGCGUGCCUAAUACAUGCAAGUCGAGCGAACAGACGAGGAGCUUGCUCCUCUGACGUUAGCGGCGGACGGGUGAGUAACACGUGGAUAACCUACCUAUAAGACUGGGAUAACUUCGGGAAACCGGAGCUAAUACCGGAUAAUAUAUUGAACCGCAUGGUUCAAUAGUGAAAGACGGUUUUGCUGUCACUUAUAGAUGGAUCCGCGCCGCAUUAGCUAGUUGGUAAGGUAACGGCUUACCAAGGCAACGAUGCAUAGCCGACCUGAGAGGGUGAUCGGCCACACUGGAACUGAGACACGGUCCAGACUCCUACGGGAGGCAGCAGUAGGGAAUCUUCCGCAAUGGGCGAAAGCCUGACGGAGCAACGCCGCGUGAGUGAUGAAGGUCUUCGGAUCGUAAAACUCUGUUAUGAGGGAAGAACAUAUGUGUAAGUAACUAUGCACAUCUUGACGGUACCUAAUCAGAAAGCCACGGCUAACUACGUG